UGUUAGGAGGUGUAGGAUAUGUUUUUGUAUGUGUGCUGGUGGUGAGCUUAUGAAUAUUCAUAUUUGGCCCAAAACAUUUUGUAAAGAGAGAGAGAGAGAGAGAGCACCGAAAGGGAGAGAGAGACAGAAGGAAAAGAGAGAGUACCGAAAGAGAGAGAGAGAGAGAGAGAGAGAGAGAGAGAGAGAGAGAGAGAUGUAGGCUCAACUUUUUGCUGGAGCAAAUUUAGAAAAAGAACUCAACUUUAAGAGUGAGUUUGAGAGAUCAGGGGAGUAGAGAGAGAAACCCAUUUUGUGAUGGAAAUUGAAGGAAUAACAAAGGGAAUUAGAGAAAAUCAGCACAUUAUAUUAAGGUUACGCGCUAUUGUCUGCCUGAUUUAUCUGAUCUGUCCAAUCUGUCUGAUUUGCUUCUACAGCUAUCUAUGAGUAAUAACUUAGCAAAAGUGAUUAGGCGCGUGACCAGGCUUAGAGGCGUCUGUCCGGAAUCUGUUUUUGUCAGCCAACCUAUGUGCCUCCUAUGGAGGUUCUGGAUAUGUCAAGUGGUUAUGGCUAUGCGAUUAAGUUCAAGUUUUGUCACUACAACAAAAUGGUUCUUUAAUGACAAAAUCACUUCGUCUCCAAUAGUGAAAUUUUCAUCACCAAAUUGAUCUGUGACGAAAUAAUUUCGUCACCACGUUCGUCAUCAAUUCGUCGUCACUAAAAGUACCUGAUGACGAAAAUUUAUUUUGUCACCUAUUAUUGGUAUUUGGUGACGAAAUAUUUCGUCACUAAAUGUUAAAUAUUUUGUCACCUAUAACGUUCAUUUCAUCACUAGAAUUAAAUAAAAUUUUAUUAUAUUUGUUUUGGGUGACAAAAUAUUUCGUCAUUAAAAAUAGCGACAGAAUUUUUAGUGACAAAAAUAAUGUCACCAAAAGAUGGAAAAAAAGACCCUUCAGUGACGAAAACUUUUGUCAACAAAUAUUUUAAUUUAGUGAUGAAAUAGUGAAUAUGUAUGACA